GCGGUGGCCACGGGCCCAGUCCCGGUGCAGGGUUGAACGCCCCUGAACGACCGUGUACAAGGCGCUCAUCAGCGCGAACAGACCUCGAAAGCGAGUGAGGGGCAACCCUCCGUGGGUUCAAAUCCCACCGCUACCGCU
rnacentral:tRNA from 1 species